AACGAACGCUGGCGGCAUGCCUAACACAUGCAAGUCGAACGAGACCUUCGGGUCUAGUGGCGCACGGGUGCGUAACGCGUGGAAACCUGCCCUUAGGUUCGGAAUAACUCCCCGAAAGGGGUGCUAAUACCGGAUAAUGUCUUCGAACCAAAGAUUUAUCGCCUUUGGAUGGGCCCGCGUUGGAUUAGCUAGUUGGUAGGGUAAAAGCCUACCAAGGCGACGAUCCAUAGCUGGUCUGAGAGGAUGAUCAACCACACUGGGACUGAGACACGGCCCAGACUCCUACGGGAGGCAGCAGUGGGGAAUAUUGGACAAUGGGCGAAAGCCUGAUCCAGCAAUGCCGCGUGAGUGAUGAAGGCCUUAGGGUUGUAAAGCUCUUUUACCCGGGAUGAUAAUGACAGUACCGGGAGAAUAAGCUCCGGCUAACUCCGUG
rnacentral:rRNA from 1 species